GGCUGCGUUUUGAGCCUAGACAAGAAGUCUAUUUUAUGCAAAUGCUGAGCGAUGCGACAAAGCGACAGCCAAUCGGCGUGAAGGCAGCGUGACGUAUGUACGUUGGUUG